rnacentral:rRNA from 1 species
AGAGGAACAUGACCUUCGGCGGGGGAUAGCCGGCCCAACGGCAGGGUAAUACCGCGUACGACCACAUGGGGACAUCCCUGAGUGGUGAAAGCAGCAAUGCGCCGAUGGAGUGCCUCGCGGCCUAUCAGCCAGUCGGUGAGGUAACGGCUCACCAAGGCGACGACGGGUAGCUGGUCUGAGAGGAUGGCCAGCCACAUUGGGACUGAGACACGGCCCAGACUCCCGUAACGGGG